GAAAUGCGAUAAGUAGUGUGAAUUGCAGAAUUCAGUGAAUCAUCGAAUCUCUGAACGCACAUUGCGCCCCUUGGUAUUCCAUGGGGCAUGCCUGUUCGAGCGUCAUUUGUACCCUCAAGCUCUGCUUGGUGUUGGGUGUUUGUCCCGUCUCCGCGCGUGGACUCGCCCCAAAGUGAUUGGCAGCCGGCGUACUGGUCCCGGAGCGCAGCACAUGUCGCGCAAACGAGUGCCUUGGUACGGCGGCGUCCAUAAGCCCCUCUCUCACGCUCUUGACCUCGGAUCAGGUAGGGAUACCCGCUGAACUUAAGC
rnacentral:misc_RNA from 1 species